UUCCGGUUGAUCCUGCCGGAGGCUACUGCUAUUGGAGUUCGAUUAAGCCAUGCGAGUCUAAGGGACUUCGGUCCCUGGCAUAAUGCUCAGUAACAAGUGGAUAAUCUGCCCUUAGGUGAGGAAUAAACCCGGGAAACUGGGGCUAAUACCUCAUAGACACAGAAAGCUGGAAUGCUCCUGUGUUAAAAGCUCCGGCGCCUAAGGAUGAGUCUGCUCCCUAUCAUGGUUGUAGUCAGGGUAAUGACCUGACUAGCCAGCGACGGGUACGGGGUGUGAGAGCACUUGCCCGGAGAUGGUUUCUGAGACACGAAACCAGGCCCUACGGGGCGCAGCAGGCGCGAAAACUUCGCAAUGCGGGAAACCGUGACGAGGGAACUCCAAGUGUCUAUGCAAUGCAUAGACUGUUUUUCAGCUUAAAUCGCUGUUAGAGUAAGGGGUGGGUAAGACCGGUGCCAGCCGCCGCGGUAACACCGGCACCCCGAGUGGUAGCCACUAUUAUUGGGCCUAAAGCGUUCGUAGCCGGUUUGGUAAAUUCUUGGGUAAAUCGUACCGCUUAACGGUGCGGAUUCCGGGGACACUACCAGACUUGAGACUGGGGGAGAUCAGAGGUACUUGCGGGGGAGCGGUGAAAUGUUGUAAUCCCGCAGGGACCACCAGUGGCGAAGGCGUCUGAUCAGAACGGUUCUGACGGUGAGGAACGAAACCCUGGGGCGCAAACGGGAUUAGAUACCCCGGUAGUCCAGGGCGUAAACGCUGCUGACUUGGUGUUGGAGAUCCUACGAGGGUGUCCAGUGCUGGCGCGAAGGUAUUAAGUCAGCCGCCUGGGGAGUACGGUCGCAAGACUGAAACUUAAAGGAAUUGGCGGGGAGCACUGCAACGUGUGGAGCGUGCGGUUUAAUUGGAUUCAACGCCGGG
rnacentral:rRNA from 1 species